rnacentral:lncRNA from 13 species
CCCCCCCUCCCUCCCUCCCUCCUCUCUUCAUAUGUCCUAACCCUGGUCUCCCUCCCUCCUCCCAUCCAUCCAUCUUUCUCUCUGUACAGCAUCAGUAUUAUUCAUAUGUUCUUAUAUAAGGUCUCUUCUCUUUUGUCAGCUACAGUCACUCUGUUUAUAUAACCUGCUGUGUGUUUUAUACACACAAUUACAGACACGAUACCUAGCCUCCAGCCUAACCUUGACCUCCUUGGUCAUGUGUGUACUAUCUAUCGUCUCUAAAUGUAUCCAUCUAUCUCAAUCACACAGAUACUGUCUAUAUCUGGGUCUGGUCUGGUAUAAAUGUGUCAUAUCUGAUCCUGAUAACUCUUAUAUCUAGCUAGGUUUUACUUCUGGUGUAGUAAGGUGCAUCCUGGGUAAUGUGAGAGGAGAUAUAUACAUCUUAAAUGAGCCACACUCUCUUUCAUCCCUCUCCUUUCUCUCAAAGCACUCGAGACAAACCUUUUAAACACAAAAUCUUUUUAUUUCUUGUUUUUACAGCAAUAUUCUUCAGAAGGUUCCACAUGGAAUAUCUGAGGCAGUAAUACAGAUGAUGUCAUUAUUAACCACAUCUAGUUUGUAUCUGCUGAACGUUGCACAGAAAAGGAAUUGAGAACAAAUGAAAAGAAAACAAAUUCUUACUAAGAUGGAGGGAUGGAGACAGGCUGGGCUCUGAUUGGUCAGACAGCCCAGACCAGGAAGUGGCAUCACUGUUUAAAGGGAAAGGAUUGGUUUAGAGAUUAAAGGGGCAUGACCAACAGCAAGACGAAAGGCUCACAUGUGGCACAACAGUGUGAGUGGCGGGUGUGUGGUGAAGUUAGGGCGAGACUCCGGCCUGAUGCUGUGGUUGCCGUGGUAACUGUACACAAUGUUGUGUUCUAAACCGCCACUAGGCUGAUGACACACAAACAAACACAGCACAAAUAAACGAGUGGAGAAACAGAAUAAAAAAGAAAGACAUUAAAAGCAGAAAUCCCCUUGAUAUAUCGACCCAGUAUCACCCCAAUAUCAACCCAGUAUUACCCCAAUAUCACCCCGUAUCACCUCAAUAUCGACCCAGUAUCACCCCAAUAUCAACCCAGUAUUACCACAAUAUCGACCCAGUAUUACCCCAAUAUCAACCCAGUAUUACCCCGUAUCACCUCAAUAUAGACCCAGUAUUACCCCAAUAUCACCCCAAUAUAGACCCAGCAUUACCCCAAUAUUACCCCUGCUUCACCCCAGUAUCAACCCAAUAUCGCCCCAGUAUUGCCCCAGUAUCAACCCAAUAUUGCCCCAGUAUCACCACAAUAUUACACCAAUAUCACCCCAAUAUUACCCAAAUAUCGCCCCAGUAUUGCCCCAAUAUUACCCCAAUAUCGCCCCAGUAUUGCCCCAAUAUCGCCCCAGUAUUGCCCCAAUAUCGCCCCAGUAUUGCCCCAAUAUUACCUCAAUAUCACCCCAGUGUUGCCCCAAUAUCACCCCAGUAUUACCCCGAUAUUGCCCCAAUAUCAUCUCAAUAUAUCGUCCACUUCCCUUAAAGUAUUCAAACGCACCACAGGUAUUCAAACUGACCUAGCAACUAGUGACCUAGCGAUAUGUCUUACAGCUAGGUACCCAGGACCUAUAUGAUCUAGUGGCUAACAGCUAGCUAACCAGGACCUAGCGACCUAGGGGCUAACAGCUAGCUAACCAGAACCUAGCAGUAUGGCUAACAGCUAGCUGGCUAACCAGGAUCUAGCGGCUAACAGCUAGCUGGCCAACCAGGACACCAGGACCUAGCGGCUAACAGAGCAGCUCUACCACAACAAACUGAACAGAAGAUAAAACACACUAACUGACAUUACUAAAAGUCUGUCUGUUAGCCAGCCGCCUCUAUCUCUACUCUAACCAUUACUCUGUCUUAACCUCUAACCUUUACCCUUCACUCUGUUAACCUGACACUACUUAACUCUUUAUUAAUCUUACAGCGUUGGAAAAUUCAUAGGUAUCAUAUCAUCAUGCCAUCUUUUAUUUUAAAUCUCAAAUCCUCUAUGUGUCUAAAGCAUCCACAAGAAAAUAUCUAUUUACACUCAGUCACCCACUCUGAUAUAUGUCAUAUAUAUUGUUGAAGAAACAUUCUCUGAUUAAAUGGACUGAAAACAACAAAAAUAUCCUGGACUUGUGUGUGUGUGUGUGUGUGUGUGUGUGUGUGUGUGUGUGUGUGUGUGUGUGUGUGUGUGUGUGUGUGUGUGUGUGUGUGUGUGUGUGUGUGUGUGUGUGUGUGUGUGUGUGUGCGCCCGCGCCGUAGAAGGCUUUCAUUUCAGAUAAAGGAGACAUCCAUUUCAAAAGUAUAAAUUAAAUUAAAGACCAAAUUCAUCAACACACAAAAAAUAAAAAUUGUUUGAUAAGUUACUAAGAACCCUAAGAGGAGGAGGAAGAGGAGGAAGAGAAAAGCAUAAUUAUUCGAUGUAGAAAGGUGGAGAGUGGGAAAAUGAGGAAGAGCAGAGGGCAGGGGGAGGGGCGUUGAU